rnacentral:rRNA from 1 species
CGAGAAUCAUUCGCAAUGCGCGAAAGCGUGACGAUGCGACGCUGCGUGGAGGAUGACGGCCUUAGGGUUGUAAACUCCUGUCAUUCAGGAAAAAUGAUUUUGGUGUUAAUAUCACCAGAAUGUGAUGGUACUG